AGAACGAACGCUGGCGGCAUGCCUAACACAUGCAAGUCGAACGAGACCUUCGGGUCUAGUGGCGCACGGGUGCGUAACGCGUGGGAAUCUGCCCUUGGGUUCGGAAUAACAGCGAGAAAUUGCUGCUAAUACCGGAUGAUGACGUAAGUCCAAAGAUUUAUCGCCCAAGGAUGAGCCCGCGUAGGAUUAGCUUGUUGGUGAGGUAAGAGCUCACCAAGGCGACGAUCCUUAGCUGGUCUGAGAGGAUGAUCAGCCACACUGGGACUGAGACACGGCCCAGACUCCUACGGGAGCAGCAGUGGGAAUAUGGACAAUGGGCGAAGCCUGAUCCAGCAAUGCGCGUGAGUGAUGAAGGCCUUAGGGUU
rnacentral:rRNA from 1 species